rnacentral:rRNA from 1 species
GGAAGGAGAAGUCGUAACAAGGUUUUCCGUAGGUGAACCUGCGAAGGAUCAUUG